CACCCAGAAGAAUCCAUCCCAGGCGAUCGUCCCUUGUUAUCACCAUCACUGACACCAUGAUCAAGUGCUGCAGCCACUUGUUCCCAAAGCAUGAGGCCCAGAGGUACAGUUUCAGGACAGUGGUAGCUCGAUGAAAUGAUGGAGGAGCCAGAUCCUUCAUCCUGUUCUACCAUCUCAGCGUCAGCUCCAUCCUCCCGUGGGCCAUAGCAAGGCCCCGAAGAUCCCAGAGGCACAUCUGCACACACUGAGACCCAGAGGAAGAAAGAGCAAUGGCCAAGAUUAAGGCUCGGGACCUUCGAGGCAAGAAGGAGGAGGAGUUGCUGAAACAGCUGGACGACCUGAAAGUGGAGUUGUCCCAGCUUCGUGUCGCCAAAGUGACAGGUGGUGCGGCGUCCAAACUCUCCAAGAUCCGAGUCGUCCACAAGCCCAUUGUCCGUGUCCUCACUGUAAUUAACCAGACGCAGAAAGAAAACCUCAGGAAGUUCUACAAGGGCAAGAAGUACAAGCCCCUGGAUCUGCGGCCUAAGAAAACACGUGCCAUGCACCGCCGGCUCAACAAGCACGAGGAGAACCUGAAGACGAAGCAGCAGCAGCGGAAGGAACGGCUGUACCCACUGUGGAAGUACGCAGUCAAGGCCUGAGGCCUGAGUCUCUUGGCAUC